rnacentral:tRNA from 1 species
GGGUUGCUAACUCAACGGUAGAGUACUCGGCUUUUAAUCUGGGUUCGAGUCCCGGGCAACCCA